rnacentral:rRNA from 1 species
CGCGUAGGCGGUUUCUAAAGUCAGAUGUGAAAGCCCGGGGCUCAACCCCGGAAGUGCAUUUGAAACUUAGGGACUUGAGUAUGGGAGAGGGAAGUGGAAUUCCUGGUGUAGCGGUGAGAUGCGUAGAUAUCAGGAGGAACACCGGUGGCGAAGGCGACUUCCUGGACCAAUACUGACGCUGAGGCGCGAAGGCGUGGGGAGCAAACA